AGUGCCACCAGAGAAGCCGCGGACCCGGCCCGCAGAUAACACCCGGGCUUGCAGAGCGCUUUCAUCUGCCCGACGCGGAAAUCUCCUGCAGCGAUCUUCUACCUUCAGCGUGCAUCCGCAGCACCCAGAGGGCACGUUAAAGAGAGAUUGAGAACCACCAGCAAAACUGCUGAUUCAGUAGGUUUGGGGUGGGGCUGAAAAAUGUGCAUUUCUAACAAGUUCCUGAGACCGACUGUUGCUGCUGGCCUCAGGACCAAUUUUUUCUAUAAAGCGCAUGGAAGUCAGAGUGCACCCAAGAGAUUGUUAACCCUUAAAAAACAGAAAAAAAAAAAAGAAAUCAACAAGUUAGAGGCAAAUAAGUGUGAAAGAAAGUGGAUAGUCUAUUUGGGGAUUCUGAAAGUCCCUGAGGAAAGUUGACUUUGGAGACCAGAUCACGAAGCACGACCUCUUAAUUGCCGACCUUUUGUUAUAGAUUAACUCCCUUAUUUUCUUGUUCCCAGCUCAGACCAGAUGGCAUCUGAGAUAAAAUACGCAUUGAAUAAGAUAAAUGACCGCUUGACUAUUACAUCCUUAAUGUGGAAUGUUAAAUAGACCCUUCCCAAAAAGAAACACUGCCUUGAACCAAUCAAAUUGCUAUGCGUUAACCUUCUAUGGAAAAUGUUGACAUCCUGUUAAGCUUCCCAGACCCUGCCUGUGUAAACGACCCUCAAACUUCUCCCUUUCGAAGCACUGACCCCCAUCUUUUGGAGUCUGUGUCCUACCGGGUCGCCAUCCUCAAACUUUGCACUCAAAUAAACCAAUAUUUAAUCAUAUUGCCCGAAUCUCAUUAUUAAGGUUUACGUAAGCGUUUACUUAGUAAUGAAGGUUGCAACCAGGAUGGCAAAUCAGAGAUUGUGCCACUGGAGAGGGGCAAGGGAGCUUAUGUUUAUAGGAAUUUAUUUGUUACAUAAAUUGUCAGAUUAGUUCAUUGGUGAAUUAAACGAAGAAGUCUUUAGUCAUUACUAGAAGAGUGCGUUUGCGUCUGUCAGAAACAAAACAAAAAAACUACAUACAGAAUAUUCUUUCUUUUUUGGGGGGGGGACGGAGUCACGCUCUGUCGCCCAGGCUGGAGUGCAGUGGCACGAUCUCGGCUCACUGCAAGCUCCGCCUCCCAGGUUCACGCCAUUCUGCUGCCUCAGCCUCCCAAGUAGCUGGGACUACAGGCGCCCGCCACCAUGCCCGG
rnacentral:lncRNA from 1 species